UGGGGAAUAUUGCACAAUGGGCGCAAGCCUGAUGCAGCCAUGCCGCGUGUGUGAAGAAGGCCUUCGGGUUGUAAAGCACUUUUGUCCGGAAGAAUCCUUGGCUCUAAUACAGUCGGGGAUGACGGUACCGGAAGAAUAAGCACCGGCUAACUACGUGCCAGCAGCCGCGGUAAUACGUAGGGUGCAAGCGUUAAUCGGAAUUACUGGGCGUAAAGCGUGCGCAGGCGGUUUGCUAAGACCGAUGUGAAAUCCCCGGGCUCAACCUGGGAACUGCAUUGGUGACUGGCAGGCUAGAGUAUGGCAGAGGGGGGUAGAAUUCCACGUGUAGCAGGUGAAAUGCGUAGAGAUGUGAAGGAAUACCGAUGGCGAAGGCAGCCCCCUGGGCCAAUACUGACGCUCAUGCACGAAAAGCGUGGGGAGC
rnacentral:rRNA from 1 species